GGGGGAUUAGCUCAGCUGGGAGAGCGGUUGCAUGGCAUGCAACAGGUCAUCGGUUCGAUCCCGUUAUCCUCCACCA
rnacentral:tRNA from 1 species